AUUGAACGCUGGCGGCAGGCCUAACACAUGCGAGUCGAGCGGAUGAAGGGAGCUUGCUCCUGGAUUCAGCGGCGGACGGGUGAGUAAUGCCUAGGAAUCUGCCUGGUAGUGGGGGAUAACGUCCGGAAACGGGCGCUAAUACCGCAUACGUCCUGAGGGAGAAAGUGGGGGAUCUUCGGACCUCACGCUAUCAGAUGAGCCUAGGUCGGAUUAGCUAGUUGGUGGGGUAAAGGCCUACCAAGGCGACGAUCCGUAACUGGUCUGAGAGGAUGAUCAGUCACACUGGAACUGAGACACGGUCCAGACUCCUACGGGAGGCAGCAGUGGGGAAUAUUGGACAAUGGGCGAAAGCCUGAUCCAGCCAUGCCGCGUGUGUGAAGAAGGUCUUCGGAUUGUAAAGCACUUUAAGUUGGGAGGAAGGGCAGUAAGUUAAUACUUUGCUGUUUUGACGUUACCAACAGAAUAAGCACCGGCUAACUUCGUG
rnacentral:rRNA from 1 species